ACGCAUGUUGCGGGAGAGAGCCGCUUUGUCGGCCGCCGAAGGCGCAAUUCGCCCGGAAUCGCUCAGGUAACCCAUACCGCAACUGCAUC
rfam:Bordetella genomosp. 13 strain AT7206, complete genome.